UGCAACUUGGUCAAGCCCUUUUGCCAGAUGAAAACCAUUGAGACCAUCGACAUGUUUGUGGGAAUUGCUAAGUUUUUUUUGUGGGAAUCGGUGGGGUGUUGAUUGCCAUCUUCCUGGGAUUCUUAGUGGCAUUUACGACUCGCUUCACACACGAUAUCUGAGUGAUCAAGCCACUCGUUGUCCUGUACAGUUAUUUGUCCUACAUAACGGCUGAAAUGUUUCACCUCUCAGUCACCAUGGAGUUUUGCUCAGCCUUUUGGCUGACUUUGCUUCAGAUCAGCACCUUUGAGAGUCGGCGGUCCCAGCAGCCCUCCUGCCUAUCCCUGGCAUUGCUGCAGAACAAGCCAAGCCAUUCGCACUGUUCCCACUGCGAUGAGACGUACACCCUCCCCCAGAACGGCACCAUCAAGUUCUCCAAGGAGCUCCGGUGCCCACUCGAUGGCUUCGAGCUGGUCCUGUGGUCCUCUGGCUCACAGGGCAAGAGCUACCCGCCGUGCCCCUACUGCUACAUGAAGAACGUUUUAAUGAAUAUGCUACACUGUCUGCGUCUUCUGCAUAUGUGAGUGUGAAAUGCUUACAAGGCGGGAGAGCAUCUGCAGGGCACCUCCCAACACUGGGAAUACCAGUACCUGUUCUGUGGUGGUUGAAAAAUGCUGUUGAAGUAGCUUUGACGGGCAGGACUGGAUUCUAACCUGUCUUCUGGGACCCAGUUCAUCUUUACCACUGGGUAGACAUGUUAAAAGGGGUCAGCUGGCGGCCAUCAAAGUUAUGGAUGUCACUGAGAGUCCAGCAGAGGUGUCCUCACGACUGCUGACCCUGACUGGCUCCCACACCCACGCUCCAGCUGCAAGAGAGCGGGCGGAAGUAAACAUCUGGGGUUUCAGCCUCCACAAGGGGAAGAGUCUGUGCCAGUGUUAUGAGCUGAAUGUCUGUGUCCCCCCAAAUUCAUGUGUUGAAGCCCCAACUCCCAAGGUGAUGGUAUUAGGAGGUGGGGCUUUUGGUAGGUGAUUCCGUCACGAGGGUGGAGCCCUCAUUGAUGGGGUUAGUGCCCUUAGAAGAGGAGACCCAGGAGCUUGCUCUCUCUGGUCUCUGCCAUGCAAGAAUAUGGUGAGAAGACCGGCACCUCGAUCUUGG